UGGGGAAUAUUGGACAAUGGGCGAAAGCCUGAUCCAGCAAUGCCGCGUGAGUGAUGAAGGCCUUAGGGUUGUAAAGCUCUUUUACCCGGGAUGAUAAUGACAGUACCGGGAGAAUAAGCUCCGGCUAACUCCGUGCCAGCAGCCGCGGUAAUACGGAGGGAGCUAGCGUUGUUCGGAAUUACUGGGCGUAAAGCGCACGUAGGCGGCUUUGUAAGUCAGAGGUGAAAGCCUGGAGCUCAACUCCAGAACUGCCUUUGAGACUGCAUCGCUUGAAUCCAGGAGAGGUGAGUGGAAUUCCGAGUGUAGAGGUGAAAUUCGUAGAUAUUCGGAAGAACACCAGUGGCGAAGGCGGCUCACUGGACUGGUAUUGACGCUGAGGUGCGAAAGCGUGGGGAGCAAACAGGAUUAGAUACCCCGGUAGUCCCUGAGCGGGCUGGCAAGGCGCAU
rnacentral:rRNA from 1 species